rnacentral:tRNA from 4 species
GCCCCCGUAGCCCAAUCGGCAGAGGCAGUCGACUUAAAAUCGACUCAGUGCGGGUUCGAGUCCCGUCGGGGGCACCA